rnacentral:rRNA from 1 species
UACGUAGGAGGCAAGCGUUGUCCGGAAUUACUGGGCGUAAAGCGCGUGUAGGUGGUGGGACAAGUCUGCUGUGAAAGCGCCUGGCUUAACCGGGCGAGGUCGGCGGAAACUGUCCGACUCGAGGACGGUAGAGGGGGGUGGAAUUCCCGGUGUAGUGGUGAAAUGCGUAGAGAUCGGGAGGAACACCUGUGGCGAAGGCGGCCCCCUGGGCCGGCCCUGACACUGAGACGCGAAGGCUAGGGGAGCGAACGGG